rnacentral:rRNA from 1 species
CCUACGGGUGGCAGCAGUGAGGAAUAUUGGUCAAUGGACGAGAGUCUGAACCAGCCAAGUAGCGUGAAGGAUGACUGCCCUAUGGGUUGUAAACUUCUUUUAUAUGGGAAUAAAAUGUUCCACGUGUGGGUGUUUGUAUGUACCAUACGAAUAAGGAUCGGCUAACUCCGUGCCAGCAGCCGCGGUAAUACGGAGGAUCCGAGCGUUAUCCGGAUUUAUUGGGUUUAAAGGGAGCGUAGGUGGUUUGUUAAGUCAGUUGUGAAAGUCUGCGGCUCAACCUUAAAAUUGCAGUUGAAACUGGCAGUCGUGAGAACAGUAGAGGUGGGCGGAAUUCGUGGUGUAGCGGUGAAAUGCUUAGAUAUCACGAAGAACUCCGAUUGCGAAGGCAGCUCACUGGACUGCAACUGACACUGAGGCUCGAAAGUGUGGGUAUCAAACAGGAUUAGAUACCCGGGUAGUC